ACAACAAAAUUAGCUUUUAAUAGCACAUCUCUAUAGCGUUUUUCUCAUAAAUGCUAUAAUUGCUCUUUAUAUUGUUUCCAAAUAAUAAAUCCAAAAAUAAAACGCUAUAACAUUGAAAUUUAUUGCGCUCAUUUUCCCGGGCCUCUAAAUAAAAUAUAUUAUGAGUGAAACAAAGCCCUAAACUCCCUUCCACCUCCCAUGGAUAAUCGUCUAAAAUUGAAAUCCUUCAUUUCUCUCAAAUGUCGACCUGCACUGCCGGCAAAACGCAAUCUUCGAUCCUAUCUCCACCACGAAUUUGUCAAUUUAUGUAUCGUCCCCUCUCAAAAUCGACCUCCUGGCACACGGUUCUAUCCAUUUUCAAUCAGUAUUGGAAAAAAAAGAGGAGCAGAAGAAAGAGCAAAUUUUGGACGGCAACAGUCUAUGAAUUUCUCGGGGACACGCAUAUGUUGUAUCUAAAAUUUUGUUUACCUUCCCUUCACCAUACAUUUGAUGGAAAACGUUCUUUUCAGGGACGUUAUGCAAUACUAAAGACAUUACAAAAGAGUUUGAUGGUAAUUAAAGAAAUGUUUUUCUUGAGUGGUAGCACAAACUUGUAAGGUGGGCUUUCUAAGACAAUAUAGAGGGUGACGAGGGUGCAUAUUGACUUAGCCGAAGCAUUGGACUGAUGUCUCUUUCUUUGUUGAUUAACUUAGCCGAAGCAUUAAAUUGUGGAAGAAUUUAUCAAUUUGAAAUGUUUCCUCAAAGGGUAUAUGCAAGAUCACCACAUCAAGUUUGAUUUAUGGUGCUUAAAUGAGAUGAUCAAGUAUAUUCAAUGUCGUGGAACCAUGGCCAGAAGAUUGAAUUGUUCAUCUGAUGCACAUAGAAACAAGGAAUGGAAGACGAAUUAUGGCGUUCUCAACUGAAUAUGCUGAAACGAUUGUGAACAUGAUUCUUUUAGUUUUUCGAAAUAACAAUCUAAGUUCAGUAUAUAAGUUUUACUAUACCUAGUGAAUGGUAUCAAAUCGAACAGGAUAUGUACAUAAUUUAUUUUGUUAUUGUGAUAUAAUAUUCUUAGCCGUUCUUGUAUUAUCUUGAGUUUAAUAAAAAUACAUGUCAUUGUAU